AGUUGACCUUAACUGAGUUCUUAGACCUCGGUUGAUCUCACCUGGGUUUGGUUGAUCUCAGUUGAUCUCAGUUGACUUUAGAUGAGUUUUUGAACCUCAAUUGACCUCCCACCUCUUUGAGCCACCCUUGGGACCCCCCCAUUGCCCCCCUCCAGGCCCGCCUGACGUGCCCCUGCUGCAACGCUCGCAAGAAGGACCUUGGUUGACCUCAGUUGAUCUCAGUUGACCUUGGUUGAUCUCAGUUGAUUUCAGUUGACUUUUGUUGAGCUCAGUUGACUUUGGUUGAUCUCAGUUGACCUUGAUUGACUUCAGUUGAUCUCAGUUGACUUUGGUUGACUUCAGUUGACCUCAGUUGACUUUGGUUGACCUCAGUUGACUUUGGUUGACCUUGGUUGACCUCCGUUGACUUCAGUUGACUUUGGCUGAGUUCUAUGACCUUGGUUGACCUCAGUUGAGCUCAAUUGACCUUGGAUGACUUCUUAGACCUCGGUUGACCUCAGUUGACUUUGGUUGACCUCAGUUGACCUUGGUUGACUUCAGUUGACCUUUUUUGGCCUCAGUUGACCUUGGUUGACUUCAGUUGACUUUGGUUGAUCUCAGUUGAGCUCAGUUGACCUCAGUUGAUCUUGACUGAGUUCUUAGACCUUGGUUGACCUCAGUUGAUCUCAGUUGACUUCAGUUGAUCUCAGUUGACUUUGGUUGACCUGAGUUGAUUUCAUUUGACUUUGGUUGACCUCAGUUGACCUCGGUUGACUUCAGUUGAUCUCGGUUGACUUCAGUUGACCUUGCAUGAGUUCUUAGACCUUGGUUGACCUCCCACCUCUUUGAACCACCCUUGGAACCCCCCCAUUGCCCCCUCCCCCCCCUCCAGGCCCGCCUGACGUGCCCCUGCUGCAACGCUCGCAAGAAGGACGCGGUGCUCACCAAGUGCUUCCACGUCUUCUGCUUCGAGUGCGUCAAGAGCCGCUACGACACCCGCCAGCGCAAGUGCCCCAAGUGCAACGCCGCCUUCGGCGCCCACGACUUCCACCGGGUCUACAUCAGCUGAAGGGACCCUCCCCUGCUGACCCCUGAUCUCUUCUGGCCACCCAGAGUCACCUGGUGGUGGCCCAAGGUCAACCACAGUUGGCCAACGUCAAGGUUGGGUCAUCCCAGUCUUGAAGUUCCUCAAAUUUCCCAUCCUAUUUUUGGCUCUUCUUGGUUAAAUUUUGACCAACCCUUGACCCCUGACCCUCCCCUGAUGACCCCUGACCUCCCCUGGCCACCCAGAGUCACCUGGUGGUAGCCCAAGGUCAACCACGGUUGGCCGAGGUCAACGUUGGGUCAUCCCAGUCUUGAAGUUCCUCAAAUUUCCCACCCAAUUUUUGACCUUUCAUGGUUGAGUUCUUGACCCCUGACCCUCCCCUGAUGACCCCUGACCUCUCCUGGUCACCCAGAGUCACCUGGUGGUGGCCCAAGGUCAACCAUGGUUGGUCGAGGUCAACGUUGGGUCAUCCCAAUCUUUGACCCCCCCAAUUUUCCCACCCAAUUUUUGACCAACCCUUGACCCCUGACCUUCCUUGAUGACCCCUGACCCUCCCGUGAUGACCCCUGACCUCCCCUGACCUCUUCUGGCCACCCAGAGUCACCUCAUGGUGGCCCCAAGGUCAACCCUGGUUGGCCAAGGUCAACUUUGGGUCCAUCCCAACCUUUGACCCCCCCCAAAUUUUUGACCUUUCCUGGUUGACCUUUGACCAACCCUUGACCCCUGACCCUCCCCUGAUGACCCCUGACCCUCCCUUGAUGACCCCUGACCCUCCCCUGAUGACCCCUGACCUUUCAUGACCUCCCCUGGCCACCCAAAGUGACCUCAUGGUGGCCCAAAGGUCAACUUUGGGUCCAUCCCAACCUUUGACCCCCCCCAAUUUUUGACCUUUCCUGGUUGACCUUUGACCAACCCUUGACCCCUGACCUUUUCUGAUGACCCCUGACCCUCCCUUGAUGACCCCUGACCUCCCCUGGCCACCCAGAGUCACCUCAUGGUGGCCCAAAGGUCAACUUUGGGUCCAUCCCAACCUUUGACCCCCCCCAAAUUUCUCUCCCCUCCCCCCAAUUUUUGUCCCAUCCUGCUUGACCUUUGACCUCUUUUCUUACCCCCCAGUUGACCUUUGACCCCUGUUGGCCCCUCCCCCCCCCUUCAAUAAAUUUUUUGGGGCCCUU